GUACGACAGUCAGUCAGAUCGCGUCCGCGACCGAGAUCUUGAGAAAAAUAAGCAUUUCACCAUCGUUUCUCUAUUAACAGUAAACAUUGUUAAUAAUUCAAGAAUAUGAUAAUGACAUAAAAAAGAGUGACAAUAAUUUAAAAUUAUUAUUUUUGUUCCAAUUCAUACAAAACGCCAAGUGAGAAGUGAAGUAUUAAGAAUGUUUUCAAUGAAAGUAAUAAAUUGCUGAAGAAGUUUAAUUGAAGAUGAACGAAACGUAAUAUUUAUCCUAAGGUGUGUGGUUGAGGGUGUGUGUGUGUCAUGAACCGCUACGCCCCUGUAAGAACCAACAUGGACAACGAGGACAACUAUAACAGGGACGGAGCAAACUCUAACCAUACAAAUCCGUAUGACCACCAUGAGCUAGAAACUGACGCACACUAUGAGGCACCUUCUUGUCUUAAACGCAACCCAUCAGGAUCUCUGUUUAUACCGUCGGGGUUAGCGGAUAGUCCUCCUAGCGAAUCCACUUUGCCGCUAGAAUCCAGGAUCAAACAUUCCGCUUAUUCUCCUCACCAUACACUCAGAGCAUACAGUCCACACGAGACAACAAGUUCAAGGCUUGAAAACCUCUACACAAACUCAUCGUCUGUUUACAAUGUUGGUUCCCUGGGAACUCGGUUAGGGAACACACUACUGAGUAGGGGUGGAGUAGGAGGCGGAGCUAGUCCAGCCCGCUCACCUAACACCGAGAAAUUUACAAAUCUAGACACAUCCAGGUCUAAUCAUCUUCCUAACUAUGGGUCCAGUGGUCAUCUAACAGUUUACCAUCCCUCUACACAUCCUCUACACAAUGGUACUGCUAAACGACCAAACUCCACUAGUCAGAGCUCAACCAGCUUCAGGCUGAAAUCUGAUUUGUCUGGAAGAUGUUCCUGGAAGUUUAUCGCCAUCUUCUUCAUGCUCUUCAGCUUCCUUCUUAUCUCAGCACUCAUAUACACCGCAGCUUCAAAUCUGAUAAUGCGUGGAGUAGGAGGACUGGAAAAUGCGCAAGCGUGCGCGGUUAUAGAAGACAACGCGGCGAAUGCGCUUGAUGGCAGAGAGGAUAUUCUUAAAUCAGAGUACGAUGCUCCUAAGAAGAACCUAGUUGCCUCCUUGCCUCCUGAAAGUUCAAGUUUUAAGGAGUUACCCUUAGGAGUCAAACUAGCACAGAUCCUACCACCUUACAAGUUUUGGAACUUCAAGCUACAGCAGUUAAACUCAGCGUAUAUAAAUUUCGGGUUUAAUAUACCAAGAGGAGCUUCCAUAGGAUUGUAUGCCAGACGGAAUGCUAUCCCUACGAUCACCACCAAUGAUAUCAGAGAUGUGCUGAAAGGAUUUCGCGAAAAGAGAUCGACUGAGUUGUCGCUGUCGAAGUCUCUAAGCUACUACCUGGAGGCCGGUCACUGGUUUAUCUCUCUCUACAACGACGACAGUGAACCUCGACAGAUUGAGUUAACCGCCAGUAUUCGACUUGACCUAAGCUCAGGGUGUCCCAAGGGAUGUGGAGGUCAUGGUGAUUGUGUGUCAGGCUCGUGUGUCUGUCACAAGGGUUUCGUUGGCCCGGACUGUAUGCAGAGUACGUGUCCAGUUUUGUGCAGUGGGAACGGUGAGUACAGAGAUGGAGCAUGUAACUGUUUCCCAGGCUGGAAGGGUGUUGAGUGCUCAAUCAGGCAUAAUGAAUGUGAGGUUCCUGACUGUAACAACCAUGGUGAAUGUCAGGCUGGAGUGUGUGUCUGUUCCCGUGGGUAUACAGGACUAUUCUGCCAACAAGUUGACUGUGCUGACCCAACCUGCUCAGGACGUGGUAAAUGUCUGCAUGGAGAAUGUCACUGUACCCGAGGUUGGACUGGAACUAGUUGUGAGAAGAAGGAAGUGCUCCAGGCGUGCCCGCAGACCUGCUCCCAACACGGGGUGUGGGAUAUACAGCUCGGGGUGUGCAGGUGUGAUCCAGGGUUCAUUGGAGUAGACUGCUCGAAAGAGCGCUGUAGCCUGGAUUGUGGCGAGCACGGCGAGUGCGAGGGAGGAUCCUGCUCCUGUGCGCCUGGUUGGAGUGGAGCGCGUUGUACUGUACGUGAAUGUGAUCCACGUUGCAGUGCGCACGGCAGUUGUUCCAACGGUACAUGUCUAUGCACAAACGGAUGGAAUGGAAAGCACUGUACUUUGGAAGGUUGUCCCGGUAACUGUGGAGGGCACGGUACAUGCAGUACAAGCUACGAGCUGGCCUGGGAGUGUAUGUGUGAGAGUGGUUGGUACGGUCCUGGGUGUGAUAUUCAGCUGGAGAAUAGCUGUGAUGACAGGAUCGAUAACGACAAAGAUGGGUUGGUUGACUGUGAGGACCCAGAGUGCUGUGAAUCUCCGGUCUGUGAACGAUCUCAACUUUGUCACACGGUUUCAUCUCCUAUAGAUAUAUUGCUCAGGAAGCAGCCUCCCGCAAUGACUGCACCGUUCUAUGAGCGAAUGCGAUUUAUAAUCGAAGAAAAUGGAUUACAAAGCUACGCGCAGAAGAUUGCAUUCAACGAAAGUGUCUAUUGGAGCAAAUUUAAACCCCGUCGGGCUGCUGUAGUGCGCGGUCAGGUGAUUACGCCAAGUGGAAUGGGACUGAUAGGGGUUCGAGUUUCGACGAACGGAGUCAACGAAGGGUUUACAAUGACGAGAGACGAUGGAUGGUUUGAUCUGAUGGUGAAUGGUGGAGGACCUGUCAUGCUCCAGUUUGGAAGGAAUCCUUACUCACCACUUAGGUUAUCCCUGUAUGUACCCUGGAAUGAAGUAAUGGUUCUAAGCCCUGUAAAACUGACACGGCGUGAGGUUCAUGUACAACUACCAGAGCUGUACAAUCCCAUCCCUACCUGUACACAACACGAUUACAACAAGAUGCAGCCGAUUGUCCAGACCUCCUGGCACUCCUACACCAGGGGCGGGUCCGGGACAGGGGCGGGGAUACUCUCGGAGUCCAGGGUUCUCCGGGAGUCCCUGGAGAUACCUGGAUCCAAUAUCAACCUUGUAUACACAUCUAGCAGAGCAAAGGGAUACUAUUCAAUAAUCCAGCUCCAGCUGACCCCUCAGAUACUACCUGAUGGUCUGACUAGAAUACAUCUUAUCAUCAGUAUUGAAGGUGUACAAGAGGAUAAGCUGUUUGAGGCUGAUCCUAACCUGCAGUACACUUACGCCUGGGAUAGGCUAAACGUGUACAGGCAGAGGGUUUAUGGAGUCACUACAGCAAACAUAAAGGUUGGAUAUGAGUAUAGUAGCUGUGACCUGGUCUGGAUAGCACUGACCACCAAGGUUGGAGGACAUGACAUGGUUCUAUCAGAUAUUGGAACCUGGAACCUGAAUGUACACCACAAGUACAACUAUCACGAAGGUAUCCUGCAGAAAGGAGAUGGAACCAACAUUUACUUGAAGUAUACUCCCCUUGUCGUCACUAAUUACAUGGGAACCGGUCAACCUAGGGAUGUCGACUGCUCUAACUGCAACGGACCCGUUGCCGGAAAAGCUCUCCUGUCGCCGAAAUCGAUCGCUGCCGGUCCCGAUGGUUCUGUGUUUAUCGUCGAUCAUAGUUUGGUUCGACGAAUUAGUCCCGAGGGAGAGGUGACAACACUCCUCCAGCUAAAUACAACCCGGACUGGAUACAGAAACCAUCUUGCACACCGUACAUACACCCAGGAGUUGGAACACAGACAGACACUGUACAUAGCUGUACCAGACCUGUACAUAAUCAUCAAGCUGAAGAGUGUAGAGAAACCUGGAAAUGUAGAGAGGAACUGGUCUCCUGCUAUUGGAUCUGGUGAACGUUGUCUACCUGGAGAUGUAGGAGAGUGUGGAGAUGGUGGGAAGGCAGAACUAGCUAAACUAUCCUAUCCUAAAGGAAUUGCUGUUGGACCAGAUGGCCGAGUGUAUAUAGCAGACGGGAACAAUAUCCGGGUAGUGGAUGAGUUUGGUAUAAUCUCUACCUUGGUGGGACACCAGAACCAUCGGUCAACCUGGAAACCUCUGCCCUGCUCCGGAGCCGUUCCCCUAGCUGACGUCCAGCUCAACUGGCCGACAGAUCUAGCGAUUAAUCCUCUGGACGGAACCCUCCAUUUUAUUGAUGAUAGUAUGGUACUGAGUCUAACUAAGGAUGGAAGGGUUCAGAUAGCUGCGGGUCGACCUCUACACUGCCAUCCUAGUCAGUAUCAGGAGGAUUCUCCACAAAGUUCUGCUCUUAUUGAACCUCAAUCCAUCAGUUUCAGUCCUAGGGGAGAGCUUUAUAUAGCAGAGAGCGAUUCUCAGAGGAUAAAUCGCGUGAGGAGAGUUGCGCAGAAUAAAAUUGAAACGAUUGGUGGAAAAAAUUCUAAUUGUAAUUGCCGAGAUUCUAACUGCAAGUGCUUUGAUCCUGACUCUCAUCUUGCGGCUUCCACAAGAUUUAGUGCUAUAAGUUCUAUUGCAGUUAGUCCUGAUGGGAAGCUUUAUAUUGCAGAUCAAGGAAACUUCAGGAUUAGAACUGUUGCAUCCCACAUGCCAACUAACGAGGAGGAGGAGGUCUUCGAGGUUCCAGACCCAGACAGUCAGGAGCUCUAUGUGUUCAACAGGUUUGGUCAGCAUAUUCUGACCAAGGACCUUCUCACAAAAUCUCUGAUCUACAGUAUGGAGUACAGUCAGACUACGUCUACGGGUAAGCUGGUGACUAUAGCGGACUCUAGCGGCAGAAAACUAACUAUUCUACGGGAUUACAGUGGACAGGUGACUGCACUACAAACAUCCAAUGGGCAAAAGCAUGCAGUUAAGGUGAAUAGAAUGGGAUACUUGGAAGCAUUUGAUACACCUGAAGGUUACAGUGCAGAGUUCCAUUAUGUCUCCACCACUGGGUUACUGCAGAGCAAACUAGACAGUCAAAACUAUGGAUAUAUGUUUAAAUACGACCAAUAUGGACGUUUGAUACAGAGUGUUUCCCCCUCAGGAGAGAUAACUUUCCUUACAUUUAAUUUAACUUCUCAUGGUGGAAACAUUCAGGUCGGUGAAACUGUUCUAAAUGUCAAUGAUAACAAAGUUAUUGAGCUCUCUCUGGACGGAUUAAGGAGAAAGGAAACCUCAAUUCUCUCUGAUAAAUCAGUUGAGGUUAAGAAUGGGGAGCGAAAACUAACCCUCGCAACUAUAACCCACCCGGUUAUCAGUCACAGUCAUCCCAUCAUUGGAGACAGCUAUCCUAUGAUCGGAGAAAUGCGGGUAGAGUCGGGUUCAAAUCUCAUUAGUAAGAUUGAUUGGGAAUUGAGUCUGCAGACAAGUGGACAUGACAAGCAACUACUCGGUAUCAAUAAGAAACUCAGAGUUAAUGGAGAAAACCUGCUUCUUGUUGCAUAUGACAAGCUGCAGAGAAGAGAGAUGCUCUACCUUCCUGACAAAACAGAACUUCUGGAGAUAAAAUAUGAUGAGAAUUCUCGGCCCAUCACCUGGGCCGCCCCGUCCCUCGGUCACGGUGGCUGGGCAACUGUAUCCCAGAGGUAUGACAGGUUUGGACACUUGGAACACUGGCAGAGAGGGGAAAUCCAGGAAAAUUAUUCAUACGACAAAAACGGACGUCUGGCCACAGUGAUCCGGGGUAAUGGAACCGUUCUAUCAUAUGAAUACAAAGAUCGGGAGACAAUACCAUUUAAAGUUAGAACAGGGAAUGGAGCAACUUUUCUCAUAGAUUAUGAGGGUAAAUCUGGUGCAGUAAAAUCCAUAACAACACCCCGAGGACAUAUUCACAGUUGGAAUAUUCUCCCCGAUAUCGGAAGUAUCCGCUGGAGCUAUAUUGCUCCCUGGAGCACACAACCCUAUUCAGUAAUUUUCAAUGUUCGCGGAUUUCUCCAAUCUGUGAAGUAUCCCGGAAAUGAGCAGGUUUCCUACAUCUAUACAAACUCAGGAGAGCUCCAAAGUAUAUUUGCUGGACAAACGGAGAUUGAGUUUACUCAGGAACCAGAAUCAGGACUCAUUGAAUCCAUUUUCAUCAGUCAGACAAACCUGGAUAUUCGUGAAAAAAGAAAAUAUCACAGUGAAUGGUUGAAGGAGCAGAAACUAAGGUUUGUUGGCAGUGUAGAUUUUGAGAAUGCUGUUAUCAAGUAUCAGUGGGACGGAACAGGACGCCCCGCUAAGGUCAGCUUCUCUUCCGGUUCCAAGAGAGAAAGAGCAGCUCCAGAGUGUACCUGGAGCUAUGAUCAGAAUGUUGGAACCCUCCAGGCUGUUGACAGUUUCCAGAUUAGAAAAUCUGGUUUCAAUAGAACAGAGAUUCAGGACCUGAAUGGAAACUUUAUGAAAAUCACGGAGCUGGAUGGAUAUGGAAAUAUUAAGAGGAUACUCUACAAAGUGAAGAGGCAACAAAUAUUUGGAUUUGAGUUCGAGUACAAUAAUGAAAACCUGCUCCAUCAUUCUUCCAUCAUUGAUGAGAACGGUAGAACGGAAAAGGUUAGCUAUUCCUACACAGUGGACCAACAGCUGGAUAAAUCCUGGGGAAAUACCAACUAUGAUUGUGAUUACGAUGAGAAUGGUAAUAUGAUAAUGCACAGCAAGGAUGCAAGGAGAGAUACUAUUAUCUAUGGACCAGGAGACAGGAUAGAGAGCUGUGGAAGCAUGAAGAUUGUUUAUGAUACGAGUGGAUUUGUGACGGCCAUAGACAAUGAGAGGUUCCUCUUCAACGCUCUCGGACAACUUACUGAAUACAUCAAUGAGAAUGAAAUCAAGGUUCGACACUACUAUGAUCAUCUGAACCGUCUGGUUGGUUGGACGGAUUCUGCAGGGGGUAGCUCACAAUACUUCUACACCAACCCUCUCCAUCCAUAUCAGAUUACUUACAUCAACAAUAAGAACGAAAAUACUCAGAAACUAACAUAUGAUAAUAACGGACAUUUGAUUCAGAUUGAGAGCACUGACAAGAUUAAUUAUGUUGCUUGUGAUCAAUUUGGGUCUCCAGUCCUUGUCUUCCAGCCAAAUGGAAAUGUAAUAAAGAGACUAAAAUACUCUCCCUUCGGGGCGGUGACGGAUGAUAGUAAUUCCAAUAUAUUCAUUCCUAUUGGUUUCCAAGGUAGGAUUGCAAGCAAACAUGGUAAAUUUCUGCUGGAAAAAGGACGGGUUUACAGCAGUAGAAUAAUCCAGUGGUUGAACCCGGACUGGUCUAACAUGUUGAACAAGAUCAUGACUCCGUCAGAUUUGUUUAUCUACAGAUUCAAGAAUAACAAUCCCAACAGGCCAGACGUAGGAACUGAGUAUUUGACCAGCAUGUCUAGCUGGGCCAAACUUUACGGAUUUGAUGUUGAGAAAAUAUUUCACGCUGCUAAAUCUAGAGUAGAGACUCAACCUGAACCCUUCCAUCAGCUUACCCUCACCUCGCUCUUCCCAGCUCACAAAAUCAUAUCGGAGACGGAUUCUCUAGUUGAUAAUGCUUUAGCUCAUCUUCAAGAUCUCUGCUUUAUCCACCCAGUUCCUGAAGUUGUUAACACAAGGCGGGUAGAACUAAUUCCUAAAUUCUUCAGUUCUCCUCCAAACUUUGGACGGGGUUUCCUCCUCUCCGUGAUCAACUCCGAUACAGCUCUGGUAAACCCUGUUGAGGUUCAGAACAGUGUAGUUCAGAAGAUAUUUGAGUCGGUUCUUAAUAACUCUAUAUACCUGGAUACUAGCUUCACAGACUCCAGUAAGUCAGUUUACUACUUUGUAAAGCCUAACUUAAACCGGUUUUCUCUUGACAGUGACACUGUCCGCCGUUUAGCAGGAGAAUUCACGGUCUCACACAAAGAAAUUGACAUCGGAAAAGAACUUAGCAUUGUAAACGACAAGUUCGAAGUCCGAGUUCUCUAUGGAAAUCUGCCAACAGUAUACAGAGCAGAGCUCCUGAAAACCUUCUCAGGUUUAGCGAUCAACAAGGCCUGGAUUCGGGAGAAGGAGAUCAUCAAACGUGGUUUCUCCGGUACCGGAGAUUGGAGCCCGUCCGAGAUUGCCGAAUUACUCAGAUCCGGUAUGGUUCGAGGAUUCGAGGUCACAGAAAUACAAUCUAUUGACAAGUUUCCAUUCCUAGCUCUUGACCCAACCAAUCGCGAGUUUAAUAAAUUCGGCCAACGAGGCCGAAAGAAUCGUCACAGACGAAAGCAUCAAGAUUAGAUUUAGAAAUUCCCCGAAGUGAGAGAGGAAAGAAACAAUAGUGCUACCAAAGUUUUUAUACUGUAAACCCUAUUUAUUAUACAUGAAGAAGAUCGAACACUUUAUCUUUACCCCAACUGUGUUUGUGAAGAAAGAUUAAAAUGGUGGACAACCAUGUCCUGUCCUAGUCAUAUCACAAGACUACAUCAAGAUUAUUUAUAUAUGAAGAUUAAAGACGACCCUUCUAGAGGGUCUGCUUGAAAACCCCCGCCAUGAAAUGAAUAGUUGUGCAUUUUAUUUAUGAAAUUUUGUGCUUAAUAGAUACAGGGUGUAGACAACAGUUAGGACAGCUGUUUAAACAGAAAAGUGACGAGCUGUUCCAAUUUUAUGUAAACAAUUGGGACAACUAGUAGAUAUAGUUGGGACAGCUGUUAUUUCUCCCAAUACAGUUAAUAGAUGUUAUGUUUCACCUAAACUUUGGUAUAGUAAAUACUUGUUGUACACUUUUUUAAAAUGUUUUUGUUUUCCGGCAACCAAUGCAAAAUGAAAUAGCUUUUAAUUGAAUGUUGAUUACCAGGGAGGGUUAACAUUGUAAAUCCUAUCCUUUAGCUACCAUAAUCAUAUAUGUUGUUAAAAUGUCGUCAUAAAUGCAUUAUUUUGCAUAAAAACCUGUUUUUCAUUUAUUCUUUCUCAAAUCUACUCUUCUAAGAAAGAUGAAAAUCUCAAUCAGACGAGUAGAUUUCUCAGAGGGCUGUGAUACCGUAUAUUGUAAUCAUUUAGUCAGGAUGUGUAAACGUAAUAAAUGUAGUAACAACCCAA
rnacentral:misc_RNA from 1 species